GUCUGAACGACCACAUCGAUGUUCUUAAGAAAAAAAAUGAAAAGGAAAAAAAAAAUUCUCUCUCGACGUUUCUGUCUGAAACAACUCGAUUUCAAUGGCGAAUCUUUGCUUCAAAAUCUGUAACGAUUGCUUGAUGAUUUUCAUCGAUGAGGGUAGCAAAUCGGAUUAGCUAAAAAAAGUCAAACCGAUGGUUGGAAACUCGUUAGAUCCACCAAAGACUUCUCGUAUUCAUAUCUCUUAAGGAGAUUGGAAUGGUUUCCAAGAGUCGAAAGAAUAUCUGCAGGGAUCAAAAUCUGAUCUUUAAAAUUGAUUCCAAGACAUCUCUCGAAAAACAACAGCUGAAAUAAAAAACUAAGUUGACAAUUAUAUAAUGACGAAGGAGAUGCGCCAAAGAACAACCAAAGCUGUACAGGUCGUGAGGCAGCAAGCUUUUCAGACAAAGCUAUAUUGGGAACUGGAUGACAUCUGACAGAGACAAAACAAUUUGAAAAAACUAGCAAUUUUAUUUAAGGUGCAAAAAAUCAGCAGAUGAAAUGGACAGUGGCAGUUAGGGAACAAAGUGGAUUUAGAAUGUGGGUUUACGUUACUCAUUUCUGGUUAAACAUACCAGUCCUAUUAAAGAAGGCUGUUGUAUUUGUUAUGAUUUAUACUAUAUGGGCCUACAAAUAUAACCAAACAUAAAUAAUCAAUAUCAUGGGCCUACACUCAAAAUAAUUAAGACAAAAUCGAUAAGCUUAUAAAUAACACAAAUACCCUUAAUGGAUCUGUCAAAAUGUAUUGAAAUUAGUAGAAAAAGGGCAUGUUAAGGUAAAAAAACAAUAGGAUCCUGCUUUAAUAGUAUAGAUUCACAUGUAAGGUUCCAAAAAAAUAUGAAUUUAAAAUCUAAUUCUACAAUAUGAUAUUAAGACAUGAUAAAAAAAUCC